UUUAAGCUGUAAUGCACCUGGUAGACGGCUUGCCUGCUACACUUGAUGUCAUUUGUUUGGUCCCCAGUACCAAUUAAAUGGGGUAUAAUGGUACAUACUUAUAACCCCAGCACUCUAAAGUUGUAGACAGGAGGACCAAAAGUUCAAGUUAUGAACUUGGCUAUGUGUUGCAGGAUAUUUGGUCACACUGGGAACCCCAAGAUUUUGUUACUUACUGGAAAAACCUAUUUUUAGUUGUGGUAUGGCUCAAUCCUAGCACACACUUUUAGUCUAAGAGCUUUCUGUUUAUUGUAAACAGGAUUAAAUAAAGUCAACUGUAGGUCAAGGGUCAAGAGUCAGAGCAAGCAAUCCGUUGACAAGAAGUAAACAUAAGAAAAAAACAGAGAGUAAGAGAAAGUCAGGAGGACGGAUAGAAAGACUCACAGGAAGUAGAAGAGAGGGACAUUCAGUUUGAAGGAGGUUUUUUAAGAAAACAUAAAAGAAAGAUUGCUUCAGGGAUACUGGCUGGUUAGCUAGAUGCUUUCUCUGCCUCUCUGAGCUAGCAGGCUUUCAGCCCCAGUAUCUGGUUCCUGACUCUUCAUUGGUGAAAUCAACCAAUUGAGAUUUUGUUAAAAACAACAGCUAUAUAUAUAGCAAGUUUGAGGCCAGCCUGGGUUACAUAACUUAAAAUAAAAAUGGAAGCUGAGGAGAUGGCUUGGUUAGUAACGUGUCUGUUGGGUAAGCAUGAGGACAAAGUUCAGACCCCAUGAACCUACAGAGACAAAAACCAGAUGUGUAGCAUAAGCCUAUAAUCCCCUUAGUGUGUGCUGCUCUUUGGGUGGAGAGCAUGGUACACAACAGAUGGAUCCCUGGAGCUCAAUAACCAAUCAUUCUAAGUGAAUCAAUGUUUUACCUGUGUGUAUGUCUGUGUACCACAUGUGUGCAGUGCCCCAACAGGCCAUGAGAGAGUACCCAAGAUCCUGAGACUGGAGUUACAGUUACGAACUGCCAUGUUUGUGCUAGGAAUCAAAUCCAUCUAGAAAAGUAGCCAGUGCGUCUCCAGCUCCAGGUUCGAGGGGUUUUGAUUGAUUGAUUGAUGAUUGAUUGGUUUUUGGUUGUGUAUUUUGCUCAAUGAGGGUUAUCCACUGAACCAACUCACUAGUUCAAGAGGUAUUAACUUUUAAUCACUUUUUAAAAAAAGAUUUACUUUUAUUUAUAUGAGUACACUAUAGCUGUCUUCAGUGAUACCAGAAGAGGGCAUCAGAUCUCAUUACAGAUCGUUGUGAGCCACCAUGUGGUUGCUGGGAAUUGAACUCAAGACCUCUGGAAGAGCAGUCAGUGCUCUUAACCACUGAGCCAUCUCUCCAGCUCCUUAAUCAUUAUUUUCAAGAGUGAAAAUCAUGAGGUUGGGAAUUUAGCUCAGGGUAGAGUGAUUGACUAGCAAACACAAGGCACUGGGUUUGGUCCUCAACUCCAAACC
rnacentral:lncRNA from 1 species